rnacentral:lncRNA from 1 species
AAAAAAAAUUCUCUGAAAUGCUAUAUCUUUUGAAAUCCUCUAAAUAUUUCAAAUUUUUUUUCUUUAAAAUCUAUAUCUGGAUUGGUGAAAUUUCUGGAUAAUUCUAGGUUUCAAUCUAGGUUUCAAGCUAUGUUACUCAAUCUGAUAGCAUGAUAUCCUUAUCCAUGNUGGAUGAUUACUGUCUUCUGUACUGAUUGACUGGACCUUGAUGGUGCUGCAUUAUCUGACAAGGCUUUGCAGCACAACAGGAUUGGCCCAAAAGAGGUUGAAAUCAUCACAAGACAAUCAAUAUUGACACCUGACUGUAACAGAUUCAUCUGAGAUCAACAACCCUCUACCACAGGGUUACCAUAAUGGGUUAAAGACCUUGAUAAUCAGGUCAAUGCUUGAGGUCAAUACUCCUACAGCAACAAGCAAUAAGGUGGGUCCAUAUUCUUGUGAAGGCUACAGUGUCAUCACCAGGUUACCAGUUCAAUUAUCUUCUUGAUAUUCACUUCGAAAUUCAUACAGCAACAAGGUGAGUCUAUAUUUUUAUGAAGGUCAAAGGGUCAUCACCAGGUUACCACAUCAUAAUUAAUCAGGGCAAUACUCAUACAUUAACAAGGUGAGUCCAUAUUGUUAUCAAAGGCUUUUGUUUUAAUGCAGUUAACCAUCAUUACAGCAUUGAUACUGGUUGUUGGUUGGUGUGAUAUAUUAUUGGUUAGAGUCGAGGUGCAGUAUGGCUAUCAGGCUCGAAUGUCAGUUUAUACAUCAACAGCCAUCUUGAGUACAGGCUCACAAGACAGUCUUACAGUCUUAUGGAGAGUUUUCAUAAAAUAUAUAAUUUUAUAACUGCAAAACAAAAUAAGAUAAAUUUAUUAGGAUACUGUUUAGGAUUUUGGUUGUUCUUUGGUUCUAAUCCGGGAUGGGAGGUGGAAAGUACCACGAGCCAAAUUUCAUGUAUGUUUCAAAAUAUAUAAAAAAACUCAAAAUAACCAAUUGUUAAACAUGGGAAUGGUUCAAAACUUUCUAAGAUUGUUUUUUUAUAACAGGUUUCAUUGUUUCUUGCAGAAAAAGUGGAAUUUCCAGGGUUCAAAUUCAACACGUGUUAUGGCGGACAAAGCCGCCAAAAGAACCAUCGUGUUUUGCACCCGUUGAAACACAUCCACAACGAACAGCAGCGUGCAACAAAUGAAGAGGUGACAUACACAGGGACUGGUUCUAGCAUUUUACACAGGGAUCCCGCUGAAAAAUGAAAUUUUUGGCGAAAAAAUAACGAACAGUUAGCGGUUUUUGGUCAUUAUUUUUUGCCCAAAAUGUAGGAAUUAAAGAGAAGAGGCUAUGUUAGGACUCUACGAAUCAUAAAACCCCGAUAAAAUGCCUAUUUUAGGCAAAAAAUGUUAAUAUGCAAAUUAGACACGUGACUUGUCACGUGAUCAAAAAUUUNGUGAUUUUUAGGUCAGUUUUUCAUUGUUUUUAUCACAAAAACUAUAAUUUGGUGGGCAUGAGUUGAUUUCAUUUAAGGUGUUUUAUUCAAUAAAGAAGUUUAUAAUAAAAGAAUAUUAAACCUU